UUAAGUUCAGCGGGUAGUCCUACCUGAUUUGAGGUCAAAAUAAGAUGACAUAUGUCCCCGGAGGGACGGUUGGAAGCAGACUUUCACCCACCACAGCGCAACAGGAUUAUCACACUGGGGCAAGUUUCUCUCCACUGAUGCAUUUAAAGAGGAGCCGACCUUCGCCAGCACGCUCCAAGUCCAAUCCCCCCGAAGCAAAU
rnacentral:misc_RNA from 1 species